rnacentral:rRNA from 1 species
GGUUGAUCCUGCCAGUAGUCAUAUGCUUGUCUCAAAGAUUAAGCCAUGCAUGUCUAAGUAUAAGCAAUUAUACAGUGAAACUGCGAAUGGCUCAUUAAAUCAGUUAUCGUUUAUUUGAUAGUUCAUUACUACAUGGAUAACCGUGGUAAUUCUGUGGCUAAUACAUGACUAAAACCCCGACUGUUAUGGGAGGGGUGUAUUUAUUAGAUAAAAAAUCAAUGCUCUUCGGAGCCGUUUGAUGAAUCAUAAUAACUUCUCGAAGCUCAUGGCCUUGUGCUGGAGCUGGUUCAUU